rnacentral:rRNA from 1 species
UCCCGGCAGUCCAAGUCGCAUCCCUUUUUAUUGGGUCUAAAACAUCCGUAGCUUGUUAUUUAAGUCUCUUGUGAAAUCCUAUGUCUCAAGCAUAGGGCUUGCGGGAGAUACUGAAUAGCUAGAGAUCGGUAGACGUGAGGAGUACGCCGGAGGUAGUGGUAAAAUACGUUAAUCUUCGGUGGACUAACAAUCAGCGAAGGCACCUUACGAGAACGAAUCUGACAGUGAGGGAUGAAGGCCAGGGGCGCAAAAC